UCAGACCGGAGAAAUCCAGGUCAGUUUCUAUCUAUACAUGAGUUUUUCCUAGUACGAAAGGACCGGAAAAGCGUGGCCUAUAUAAACACAAGCCACAACUACCAAAUUAUGACCUAAUCUCAAUAAUACCGUAGCCUAAGAUAAAUUUCUAAACAAGAACCG
rnacentral:rRNA from 1 species